ensembl:lncRNA
AUGCUGAAACCAGCACAGACUGUUGAUAUUUUGUCUUCUCCUGUCUUCGUUUGGCAGAAAUCCGAGGCGGUCGCGCUCCUAAAGACGGUCCGGUCCGGCAGCUUCCUCUCUACGACACCCCGUACGAGCCGGAGGAGAACGGAGGAGAUCCAGACGGAUGUGUGUGUUCCCGCGAGAGCAGAUUACCGCAGGACGACGAGAGGCCGCCGGAGGAGUACGACCAGCCCUGGGAGUGGAAGAAAGACCGCAUAUCCAAAGCCUUCGCAGUAGAGAUUAAGGUCAUUAAGGAUCUGCCGUGGCCUCCUCCGGUCGGGCAGCUCAACACCGGUCCUCCUCUGAUGGAGGCGGUGGAGGCUCCGUCCUCUCCGGGACUCAACACCACAGCCUCGGCCUGCGACCAGCUCCAGCACGGUGGGUUCGUCCUCGUCCUCGUCCCGAACGCUGCACACGUCCCUCCAGACCUCUGUCAGUUCAGUUCAGUUCAGUUCACACAAUCAGAACAUCUCUAACAUCUCAGUUAUAGUCUAUAAUGAGAUUAAAUGAUGACUUUGGCCUGCAUUUCUCGGAUAAUCUCACACAUGUCUCCUGUGGAUUGACUAUCUUGAAGUUUCAGUUUCAAUGUGAGUUUGUUUCUCAUAAUUGCUACUUGAUUUCUCGUCAAUUUGACUUUAUAUCUCAGAAUGUCACUUUAAAUUUUACUGUGUGACUUUACCACCUGUGCCAUUGUUUUUUCAUUUCAAACUCUUUUUAUAAAUUUAUUUAUUUUUAUUCUGAGCCAGCAAUGUGCUAACCCCAUUUAUUUUAGUAGAUUAUAAUUAUUACUUAUAGUCUUUUCUUCAGAAAGUGUUCGUGCUCAUAUAAAACCCAUAUUUUUUAUUUAUAUUUAAAAUUUUAUUUUUAAUUUUUCAUAUUUUUUAAAUAUUUAUUUUAAUAUUUAAUUGGCUAGAAAGUACUCUUUGUGAGUGAAAACUCAUUGGAAUUGGAAAAGCCUUGGAAAUAUAUAAGACAUUUAUACACACACACACACACACACACACAUAUAUAUAUAUAUAUAAACUUUUUUAUUUUUUACUUUGUACUGAGCCGGAAAAUUAACUAUUUAUAUUCCCAUUUGAGAGUAUUAAUAUGUUAAUUCAGUUUAGUACAUUAAGUAUUAAUUAUAUUAAUCCUGUAUAAGUAUAUUAAAAUAGUUUUCUUAGUUUUUAUUAUUAUUAUUAAUUAUUAUAUUUUAUUUAAUUUUUUAUUGUUACUCAAGAUCCAACAAGUGUUCCGUUACGGUGAAUAAUCUGAACUGGCGUCUGUGUGUUUGUCUUGCUCUGUUGAGGAUGGUUGUAUUGUAUUGUUCUGUUCUCGCUCCUGAAAACAGGUGAAGAGCUUUUGGACUCAUGAAGCACAUAUGCUCAGAUAAAGUUAAUGGGCUGCUGUGAGAUUUAAGCCUCUUUCUUGCACUACUGUCCAAAUUAAGCAUUUGCUUCCAGUGAAGCAGAAAAUGACUGAAGGCUUGAGUCCAGCGCUCAGCGUCUGCAGAUCCAGCUGCGACUCUCAGAAACAGCUUCUGCUCAGACGUUUAAAGUUUCCCUUCACAGUUUAUCACCUCCAUGUAACAUAAUCACAAGGCUCCCCGAUUGCUUUUCAGUCCUUUGACAGUGAAAUGUGGAAAAGCGAUUGUCCCGUAGAGAUUACAGAUGUUCAGAUCCUCAGGAAUAGAGUUUUACACUAUCAGAUGACUAGAAUUCACGUUUCCAUUUCAGAAGUGUUGUAUCGGGGUGCCGCCAUAAAACCAAAGAAUGCUUGAAAGUGGUGUUGCGUGUCACCCAUGGACGCGCUGGAGAUCCAGAUUUAUGUGUGUGGCGGUGAAGUGAAGGUUUGUGUUUCUGCCUGCGUGUGGAUUUGAGCACGUUGGGCGGCUGUAAAUUAACCUGGAUUGAUCCUUUCCUCCAGAGAUUAACCGUAAGACGAUCCCGUCACUCCACUUCCACACAGGAAUAAACAGGUUAAAGGGUCGUUUCA